rnacentral:rRNA from 1 species
CCUACGGGUGACAGCAGUGGGGAAUAUUGCACAAUGGGGGAAACCCUGAUGCAGCGACGCCGCGUGAGUGAAGAAGUAUUUCGGUAUGUAAAGCCCUAUCAGCAGGGAAGAAAAUGACGGUACCUGACUAAGAAGCCCCGGCUAACUACGUGCCAGCAGCCGCGGUAAUACGUAGGGGACAAGCGUUAUCCGGAUUUACUGGGUGUAAAGGGGGCGUAGACGGUGAUGCAAGUCAGAAGUGAAAGCUCGGGGCUCAACCCCGGGACUGCUUUUGAAACUGUGUGACUGGAGUGCAGGAGAGGUAAGCGGAAUUCCUGGUGUAGCGGUGAAAUGCGUAGAUAUCAGGAGGAACACCAGUGGCGAAGGCGGCUUACUGGACUGUAACUGACGUUGAGGCUCGAAAGCGUGGGGAGCAAACAGGAUUAGAUACCCUAGUAGUC